CUACGCCUGCAUGAAGUCGGAAUUGCUAGUAAUCGCAGAUCAGCAUGCUGCGGUGAAUACGUUCCCGGGCCUUGUACACACCGCCCGUCACACCAUGGAGUCGGUAACACCCGAAGCCUGUAGUCUAACCGCAAGGAGGACGCAGUCGAAGGUGGGAUUGAUGACUGGGGUGAAGUCGUAACAAGGUAAC
rnacentral:rRNA from 1 species